UACGUAGGGGGCAAGCGUUGUCCGGAUUUAUUGGGCGUAAAGAGCGUGUAGGCGGCCAGGUAGGUCUGCUGUGAAAACUCGAGGCUCAACCUCGAGACGUCGGCGGAAACCAUCUGGCUAGAGUCCGGAAGAGGAGAGUGGAAUUCCUGGUGUAGCGGUGAAAUGCGCAGAUAUCAGGAGGAACACCAAUAGCGAAGGCGGCUCACUGGCCCGGUACUGACGCUGAGGUGCGAAAGCGUGGGAGCAAACAGG
rnacentral:rRNA from 1 species